GGGGUUGUAGCUCAGUGGUAGAGCGCUCGCCUAGCAAGCGCGAGGCCCUGGGUUUGAUCCUCAGCACCACA
rnacentral:tRNA from 1 species